rnacentral:lncRNA from 1 species
AUCGACCAUCAAGAUGAUCCCUGUGAGUCUCACCAUCCACCAGUGACACCUAGCAGUAUGUAGUGGCCACCCAGCAGAAUAGAAUGAUGAACCUCUAGGUGCAGUUAUCAUAUGAUACAGUCCUUCUAUCGUGGAUCCCUACAGACCGGAGGUCAUGGAUAACUCGUCAAACCCCGUCGUCUGUCAUAUGUCUAGAUUUAUUCGACUUGAGUUCGAUAGUGGAAAACUCUUUCUCCACUGUAUAUUAUUGCCCUGGCCAAGGUCUUAGAACUCUGUCUAAUAAAUCACAUAGGAUCACUCCUCUUCUAUCAAGGUCGAUAGAUUCCAUGUAAGUGCAUACCCUACUCCUACAGUGAACUUACUGCAGCCAAUCUAC